AUGUAUAAAUAUGAAUUUUGAGCAAAGGUCAAAAUCUAGAACGUCAAAUUUACUGAUGACCUUGACCUAUAUUUCAAGGUCAUAAACCAGGGACCCCAAAUAAAAAGACCCUAGGUCUGUAAUAUGUAUAGUUAAUGAGUUAUAUCACUUUACGUUUAAUUCUUAAUAUAGGAGGGGCAAAAACUCCCAUUUUAUGUCUACACACCCUUCUAACCAAAAUAUAUAAGUUACGACAUGUCGCAACUAACAAUUUAGUAAAAAUAAUUUGUCGGUAUCUUAUAAGGUUAAUGAAAAUUAGUGAAAAUAGGCCAAAAUCAAAAUUUAGAAUAUGACCUUGACCUUUGACCUUUACCUAAUUUUUAUUUUUUUGGACCAAUGAUCUCAAAACAAAAGACCCUAGGUCUCUAUCACUUAUGGUUUUCCAGUUUAAAAUACAUUUCAAAAUUUCAAAUACAAAAGGGGAACUAACUCUCAUAUGGAGUCUCUAUACGGCUUCGGUCAAAAUAAAACAGAACAUCCUGAGGAUGUAACGAGCAAUUUGGUAAAAUAAAUUUGUCGUAAUCUUUUAUGGUUGCGAAGGAGUAGUGGCCACAAGAAAAACAGUGUUUGGGGAGAUAACUCUUACAACGUAAAGUAUUUGGUUACGCAAUGGUCAGUUUUAAAAGUGCAUACGCUUUACGAUAUCAUAUUCCAAAUAUCUAAGCGACAUCUUUUGAAACAUCAAUGCUACGCAAGAAAAGAAUUAGGCGGAAGAAUAAUAAAAAAAAAUAAUAAUAAUAAUCAGAAGAAAUCCAAUAGGUCUUUCCACGGAAAGGUGGAAAGACCUAAUAAAUUCUUUAUUUAAAGAGGGUAACUCAAUUAGAACUAGUCUUAUUUUCAUUGAGGCCCUCAAACAAAAAACAUUCAUACAUUUUCGAUCACGUUGUGUCCUGCUCUUUUUUGAAAUUAAUUUUAAAUGUAGUAGACAGAGAACUCUUAAAUGGUGUUCCAUAUAAAGUGUUCUCAAAUUGAUGGUACAUGAAAUGAAAAGUUGAAGAUAGAAAAAUUCAAGUCUUUUCGCUAGUUCUGGUAUCAAAUUAUAGACGUGAGUCAAGACGCGAAACAAUGCCUUUUUUCUCGAUACAUAUUUCGAUCAACAUUCAUCGUAAGUUAUUAUGGAACGUUCAUAAUUUUAGAAAUUUAAACUCCUGAGAGAUGUGUUACUAAUCUACAUUAUAUCUGUGACAUUCUUUAUUCUAAGUUCAUUUUGAUGCGUCCCACCAACCUUUUUGUAUAUUAAAUUCAAUUAAGAAAUAUAUGUAUACUUGUCAUUAAAUAAAGUUAAAAUCUAUCAUGCAGAACUAAUUUUAUUGAGUAAUUAAAUUUUUCAAAUUCACUACAACAUGCAUGAGCUACAUACUGCCUUGCUUUACCAAAUCUAUCUUGCAGGGUAAAAAAUGUUUUAACACCAAUGUAUUAUACAAUGAACUAUUGGACCUCAAAUGCAUUGUGAUAAUUCAUCAAAGAAAGCAGGCUUAUUAAUUGUCCAAAUAUACCUAGUAUGUCUGUUUGGGUUCUUUAACAUUUUUUUGUCAAUAGAACGGAACUAUAAAAAAAUUUCACACAAGUUGGAGGUUAAACUAGCUAUAAAACCAGUUAUCCUCAUUGUUUCUUCGAAAAAUACCUGUACUAUCUCAAGAUUAUGGCAGUUGUUUUCCACUUGUUGACAGCGUUUUAUUUUUGAUUUUGUUUUUUAAUUUUCCAGGGAGUUUUUGUACACCAGACGUUGGGUCUGCAUUAUACUCAUCAUAAAACAUUUGUAUACUUUUCAUUGAAUAAAGUAAAAGUCUAUCAUGCAAAACAUUUAUUUAUAUAAAUUUUUAAGAAGCACCACAAUUUGCAUGAGCUAUAUACUGCCUUGCUUAACCUAAUGUACCUUGCAGGGUAAAAAAUGUUCUAAAACCAAUGUAUUAUACAAUGGACCAUUGGACCUCAGAUGCUUGUGAAAAUUUAUCAAAGAUAGCAGAAUUAUAAACUGGCCACAUUAAAUAAAGGCAACAGUAGUAUACCACUGUUCAAAACUCAUAAAUCUAUGGACAAAAAAUACAAAUCGGGGUAACAAACUAAAACUGAGGGAAACGCAUUAAAUAUUAGAGGAGAACAACGACACAACAUUAAAAUGUAACACACACAGCAACGGACUAAGCAUUAGACAACAUCCGAUGAGAAUAACCAAUAUAACAUCAAAACCAAAUACAUGAAUUUGGGAUAGAAAAGUACCGUGACACGUCUUAUAGUAAUGUGAAUUCACACAUUAAACUAUCAUAUCUGUUUGGGUUACUCAAAUUUGUCAAUAUAACGGAACUAUAAAAAAAACUUUCACACAUGUGGGAGUUUAAACUAGCUAUGCAACCAGUUUAACCCCAUCAUUUCUUUGGAAAAUACUUGUACCACCUCAGGAUUAUGACAGUUGUUUUCAAAUUGUUCUGUUGAUUUACAGCGUUGAAAUUCUGAUUUUGUUUUUAAUUUGCUUGGGAGUUGAGUAUGUUUGUUAUACUUUUUUGUAGACACACGAGUGUCCUCUACAUUAGACUCAUCAUAACACAUUUGUGAACACUGCCUGUCUUAUUAACUCAAGUUUAUAUUAUUAUAGUUGUUCUGUUUGAUCUGUUUUUCGAUUUAAAAGAAGCUAAAGAAGACACUGCAAAAAGGAAUGUGUCAAUUUGUGUUUUGCUACUUUUUAUUUUCUUCCUUCACCGCAUAGAUGCGUAUUAUCAGGUGUUGUAAAGAUAACCAAUUUCUAUGCUAUUCCCUGGGAGACAAACGGAUUUGAUGAUAAUUGGAAAAUUAUCAGUAAGGAAGUAUGCUUAAUAAUCUUGAACAUAGCUAUAAUAUCAAUUGAAUAUCAUCCUUUUUAUUGACUUGUCAGCACAGUUUAUCUGCUUUUAUUAAAGUUAUUAAAGAGGAUAUGGUUUAAUGGUUUUAUCAAUUUUCUGUCGAAUAAAAUGCAUCGAAGGUUACAUAAUAGAGCAACGGAAAGCCUUGAAUUCCUAUCUAUUUUUGACUUCUUUAUUUAUAUGGAUAAAGCUUUAUGAAUAAUUGAAGAUAACUAAGAAGCUAACAAGGAUGUAAUAUAAGCUGAAUACUUCAGGAGUCACAAGAAAAGAUACAAUAAUAAUCUACUGAAAAAGACCCCAAAAAAAUAACAAUUAAUAUAAAAAAAAAAAAAAUUAAGGAAGAUUAAAGUGGUAGGCAAAUGUUUUAAAAUAAAACAACAAAAGUUACUAAAGGUAAGUAUUGCAUUUAUGGAGUAAAACAAUGAAUCAAAAGAAACAAAAAAAUCUCUGUACGGCUAUAUUAUCUUAUUUGAACUAUUUCGGACAAUCUGUUUUACAGUUGUGACAAAAAAGAGAAAGCAAUCAAAAGCAAAGUGUUGACUAUGAUAGUUAUCAAAGGUACCAGUAUUAUAAUUUAAUACGCUAGACGCGCGGUUCGUCUGCAUAAGACUCAUCAGAGACGCUCAGAUCUAAAUUGUUAUUAAGUCAAACAAGUACAAAAUUGUAGAGCAUUGAGUACCCACAAGUCCUAAAAGUUGUGCCAGAAAAUCCUAGUAUAACAUAACCCUGUUAAAAAAAAUGCAUAUAAAAAGGAAGAUUGGUCAACAGUAAUCUCACCAAAAAGACAAGAUUUGACUCAUCUGCUCAGGAAGAGACAGCAGUUUUUGCUCCACUUUUUACAAUCUUGAGUUUAUACAACCUUAUAUAUUAAUUCAGCGAGCUACAAUAGAUGACAGUAAUAUAAUCAGCACAGAAUUAUGAAAAUAAGGCUUGUUUGAUAUACUGCUUUCAUUAGGUCUUCAUAGUUUUGGUGAUUACCUGUUCUAUAUUUACGAUUUGCUUUUUUUUGUUUUAAUACCACACACGUCAAUCAAAGAUUUAUUGCUAACCUUUGAAAGAAAAGGUUAUAUGUUCAAAUUAAUAAAUGAAGCACUGAUUCAUUACAAGAUUUCAUAAUGUAAAAUAAUAUGGUGAAAAAAUCUUCGGACAAUAUCCAGUGCUCAGUAAUGCAAUUCUUGGAGAAAAAUCAUGGAACAAAGUAACACAUUUUUUUGCCUUUUAUCCUUAAUUUUAUUUGUAUUAUUUUCUGCAUGUUUAGUUGCCUAAUGUCUUUUUGUACUUAAACCAGAUUUACAGACAAUUUACCUUUGGUGCUUAAUACAAGGAAAGUCAAUCAUGAAAACACUGCUACAUCCAAGAGAAAUCUUACAAUGAAAAUGUCAAAUGUAUAUAGGAAUGCUUUAAGUGAAAUAAAUACCCACCAACCCCCUCGAAAAAUACAGUAGAAAAGAAAGUGACAAUCCCUCAGUAAAAAAUAAAAACAGAGAAAAAGACAAACAACAGCUACACAACCAUAUAUAGAAAAACAGAACAAUAAAGACUGAGCACACACAAACAUAACAAAGAAACCGGAUGUGAUUUCAAUCCAUAUGUAGAUCCUGUUAAACAUAUUUAACUCACUGUCGUGUUGCUCGUAGUGAGUACACAUUUGAAUAUGCCCAAAAUCGAGGAAAAAAUAACAUGGGGCUGUGUUUUUGACCAUUCGAACAUAUCGUGGUUAUGACCAUCCGAAUACAUUGUGGUUUCGACAUUUGGAAAAUACCCGUGGUCAUAUGGGAAACAGUUAUUCAUUAUCAAUCAACUAAUUCGCGAAACACUUCCGAAGGGAUGAUUUCAAUUUUAUCUCUUGGAACCUUAAACACAGCAUCAACAAUUAUAAACAAAGUUGUUGUUUUGAAUUGUAUUAGGACAGACACAACUGGUGUGCAGGAAUUAAAGUACUUUAAAGGGUCCAAAUAUAUAGUAUUGCUAAUGAUACAAAUUAAAAAAUGUUAUACGUUAACCUGGUUUUGUAAUAGAUUGAGUCAAUAUUUAGAUUAAAAUCAUAGACUCAUUUCUACCACGUUAAAAAUAAAUUAUUUUAGGUCUGAUGUUUCCACUAUUUAAAUUGAAUACAUGUCAACAUAUUUUCAAAGUAGAAAAACAAGAAAUAAAUGAAAACGUCCGUUCAAAUCAUUAACAUGUGUUCCAAAUUACCAUGUCAAUACAUACUUCUAUAAUUAUUACACGAGAUUUACAAGAUAAAAUACUCACUAUUGAACAUUCUAUAAUUUAUAUUCAGGUUUUUUUCCAGAAUAUUACAACUAUGACUGAAACACUCGCUCUCGUUUUUUUCUUACAGUAAAUCAUGAAUAAGAAGAUAUGGGAAACGGAGAGUUAUUUUGGAUUUUGAUAAUUAUAUUCCUUAGAGAAGGUAAGCAUAUGUUUAAGCCAAAAUUUCAGUUUUCAUAUAUCUUUAUGAUAUAUAUGUAUGCCUCUGUCAUCAAGAAGACGAAUCGAAAGCGAUUUCCAUCGGUUGUCCAGUUAAAGAUAUAAGAAGAUGUGGUAUGGGUGCCAAUGAUACAACUCUAGUGAUAAUUUGUAAAAGUAACUAUUAUAGGUCAAAGUGCGGUCUUCAACCAAAUAGUUAUCAAAGGUACCCGGAUUAUAAUUUAGUACGCCAGACGCGCGUUUCGUCUACAUAAGACUCACCAGUGACGCUCAUAUCAAAAUAUUUAUCAAGCCAAACAAGUACAAAGUUGAAGAGCAUUGAGGAUCCAAAAUUCCAAAAGGUUGUGUUAAAUAUGGCUAAGGUAAUCUAUGUCUGGGAUAAGAAAAUCCUUAGUUUUUCGAAAAAUUCAAAAGUUUUGUAAACAGGAAAUUUAUAAAAAUGGCCACAUUAUUGAUAUUCAUGUCAACACCGAAGUGUUGACUACUGGGCUGGUGAUACCCUCGGGGACGAAACGUCCACCAGCAGUGGCAUCGACCCAGUGGUGCAAAGGUACCAGGAUUAUAAUUUAGUACGCCAGACGCGCGUUUCGUCUACAUAAGACUCGUCAGUGACGUUCAUAUCAAAAUAUUUAUCAAGCCAAACAAGUACAAAGUUGAAGCUUUGACCCACACCGAACAGCAAGCUAUAAAGGGCCCAAACAACGACAAGUGUAAAACCAUUCAAACAGGAAAACCAAAAAAUAUAUAUAAAAAAACCACGAGGAACGAGAAACACUUAUGAACCACAACAACAAACGACAACCACUGAAGAUCCCCCGAACAUCAUACGGUAUGCCUGUAUGUAUUGAACUGUUAAUCUAUUCAAUAGUAUAUGAAGUGUUUUACAUAUUGGUUGUGUUUUGUUCAUGAUCAAAUGAAUUACUCGAGAAAUAACGUCCUUGGGACAUGAAAAAAUGUUUUUAUUAUUUCUCAUUAUUCUCGAAGAUUUUGAUCUGAUUUUUUAGUUCUUCAAUGAAUAUUGCUGCCUUUUAUAAUCGAGUUCACGUUACCUUCCUUGAUGAUUCACAUGUUUGUAUAUUUCAAAGGAUUACACCCUAAUCAUACGUGUCGUUCGUAUACCCCUCGUUUUGACUUAUUUUUUUCAACACUUACACAUGUGAUAUUGUAUGUUAACUUUCCAUGGACACUCCACAAACUUGAAAGAGAGAUAAAGUUUUUCAUCUACAUCGUACCAUUGAAAGGCAAAACAUGGUUUCAUUCACUAUAUUGUUGUGGCAGUGAUAAUUUGCUUGCAAAAGGCAAAUUCUGAAUUCAAUACCAUUUUGCAGAAAUCUCUUUCACUAACCUUCGACAACAUCAUAUUCCAACUUUACCAUUAAGGACAAAUAAAGACUUCGCUUUUAUCACAGUGACUGCGCUACAACCAGAACAAAUCAAUGGUGUUUAUAGACGAGAGAACCAUAUAUGUUAAUAAAUAAAUAAAACAAAGUUCGACCACAAAGACAAAGAAGGUCUUUUUUAGUCUGAUAUUGAAGGACUAUGAUUUAGUUCCGACCUUAUUACUUUUAAGCAUCUCAUAUGUUAUCAUAAAUUGAAUAUAUCUGUCGAUAAAUGUGAUUUAUGUGCUGUUUCAACAGCAGUCCGAAUUAAUGUAUUAUAAAAUAACUAUCGUAUUAUCUUAGUAUAAAUGAUGAGUUUGUUUGCCCCUCUGAAGUGAUUUUUUGUUAUACAUAUGCUAUUUUUAAGAUCAUAACUAUAAUUUGUAUCAUGGAAUAAGAUAAUCUUUGAAAUAAUAGCAAAUAAUCAACAGAGGAUUUGCUGGUUUUAUUUUAAAGAUUUUUAAUAUUCUUACUACUAGUGUAAAUAUGUGAAACUCUACUUUAAAAAAUACUUUCUAGAUUUUUCAGGUUGCUUUUUAACAUAUUUUUCUGCUAAAGCUUGUAUAUUUUUCUUUGUCUUGUGAGUAACGUAGAAAUGUAACAACGAUGUAGUUUUGAAAAAUCAUUGAAACAAAUCCAAUAGCCAUGGUAUGAUACAAAAGAACCUUUUCCUUAUUUGACGUUUGACUGAAUACCAGUCUUUUACUCUGUUUUAAUGUCGUCUGCCGCCUUUGUAUUGUCUAGAAUGGGAGCGCUUUUAUACGACAUCUUCCCAUUAACUGAUUAGUUUUGAAUGAUAAUUCAUCCUUUUUUCGCAAUAAAUGUUCCGACAGUUUGACCAAAACAUUAUAGACAAGCUGUAAAUCAUUAUGUUUAUAAACAUCGUUAACUAAGGUUUUCCUAUCGACGUACUAGUCAGUAUUUGUCUUUGGAUGUAUCUGGAAAGAGUACUCCUUAAUUAACACACAAUGUUGUUACAUGUAUGAUAUGCUAUACACUGUAAUUGAACUGGAUGACGUUAAAUCUGGUUGUCAUAGUUUCUACUUUUCUUCGAAUUUGGAAGAGGGUCUUUUUACUUUUUCGGAGACCCUAGGAUCACUCCCUGUUUUUGGUGAGGUUCGUUUUACUCAGUAUAUUUUCUAUGUCGUGUUUAGUGGCAUUGUUAAUUUGUGUUCGACUUAUAUGUUUGAAUGGUACUUUUCACCUAUCCCAAAGGUUCUAAUUUCCAUAGUAUUCUUUAAAACCCUAGAAGAAACCGAAAACCUAUGUAUUUGUUUAAUGAAUUAGAUUGAACUAUCAAACAAUAAAAAAGAAAAGAUACAUGGUUUAUAUUGAAUACAUGUACAACAUGUCGGUCUUUUGUAUUUCACUCACUGAAGAGUACAAUUUAUAAAGUAACGUUAAGGUUUCACAUGUUUUUUUUCAGUAGCUUGUAAUCGAAUUAAAAACCUAUCAAUUUAAUUACACCUUACACAAUCUUGUAAUGACCAUAUAACUAGAACAAGAAAAACAACACCGGGUUGUUGUAUGAACUCUGUAUUUUGAGAACAGAAACGAGGCAACGUCAUAUUUUAUAAACCAUUUUAUUUUUAAGUUAGUGUAUUAUGCUUGGGAUCUGAUAUUUAAAUAUAACCCACACAUUGUGUCAUAAUGACAAAAUUAUUUUUAUAUUUCUUCCUAUGGGACGUUUAUAUUUUCUGACGUCAUAUAUGCGAAACAAUGAAUGUAGUUUUUAAAAUUUGGUAGAUGCAUUUUGUGCUUUUUUGUUAAAUAUUUUGUUUGGUUUGAGAUUGUGACAUAAUGAUGACUACUAUACCCAUAUUGAGACUAUUCUUCUAUUAUGUCUGUUUUGUUCACACAUCGUUGUAAAUAUAAUUGACUGUGAUGCGACUGUCAUACACGUGAGAGGUUUAGAGCUAUAAAACCAGGUUCAAUCCACCAUUUUCUACAUUUGAAAAUACCUGUACCAAGUCAGGAAUAUGACAUUUGUUGUCCAUUCGUUUGAUGUGUUUUAUCAUUUGAUUUUGCCAUUUGAUUAGGGACUUUCCGUUUUAAAUUUUCUUCGGAGUUCAGAAGUAUUGGGAUUUUAUUUUUACCAUGUAGACAGAAGCAUCUAUCUAUACUAUUACAUGCUAUUGUGAAUUCGUUUUUUAAUCAAACUAAAAACUGUAUAACAUAAAUUGGCUUCAAAUAAAUAUGUCACUACAGCCCCAAAUUCAUUGAUGUUUUAUCUGAUUUUAUUUAAAAUUACCAAUAGCCUCAUAUAUUUUCAAAGGUUUCUUUGUUUGACUAGACAAUUUCCGGCAUUCCUUAUAUUUCGAACUAGUAAAUACAAUCUAAAUAUGUAAAAAGUAAAAUAAAAAAAAUACUGAAUUCUGAGGAAAAUUCAAAAAGGAAAGUCCCUAAUCAAAUGGCAAAACAAAAAACUCCAACACACCAAACGAAUGGAUAUCAACUGUCAUAUUCCUGACUUUGUACAGGCAUUCGUGUGCAAAAAUAAGGUUAGUAGGUUUCCUAACUGUGAAUGGUAUUUCACAACGGUAAAUGAUUUGAUUAACGAUCAAACCAUUUAAAUUCCUGUUACCUAAAUAUCAAAGUAUACUAUACAUACUGUAGAAAAAGCAUAAGGGGUACGCGUACUACAGUUAAGAACACAAGUUGUAUGAGUCAAGAACUUCCUGUAGUUAUACCGUUCAACAUUUCUGCUGUUCAGUAUUUCUCCAAACAUUUCAUUGUUAUUUUUACAAUGUAUCUAUAAAAAACAAUAAUUGUAUAUAUUCUUGCGACGACACCAAAAAAGAGACAAUCGAAUACUAUCAGGAAAAAACGUCCAAGAUAAAACACUUGCACCCGUUUAAAAUAAAAUUCAUCAAUAAACUCAAGCUAUGAUUACUUUCUUUUAAAGGGAGAUUUAAACAUUAGUAUGGGUUACGGUACCCCUGAAAUUUAUUUAAUCAAUUUUACACCAGCUAUUAUUAUUAACUGAAACUCUGUAAUUCAAAGUAAGCUCUGCUCUAAAAGAAAGUUUUGAAUUUUUUUCUCCCAAAUUUCUGCGUGUUGGAAAGCAAGUUUAAAAAAAUUAAUUGCGUUUCAUACUUUGGCAUUAGCUGCAAAGAAGAUUAAAUGCUGAGAAUUAACGUACAACAGAUCAGGUAAUUUUUGCAUAAAGAUAAAUUGAUAUGCAAUUUUAAACAGAAAGAAUAUUAAAAUAUUUUGAAAAUACGCAUACAGUAUAGAUUUCAUUAGUAUUUAUGAUGAUUCGAUCUAAAACUUUGCAAACUACAAUUAAUUAAAUGUUGACAUAAUGUAAAUCAUCACAGGUUUUGGUCUAAAAUCAGUUUGUGUGAGUAUCCUAUUCGACUUUUUCAGAAAUAAUCAUCAACGUGCUAUGAUUAUGACGUAAUUUCGGCAUGCGAUGUUGGUGGCGUUACGUACAGAUAAACUAUAAAUAAUAGAUUAUAGUAACGCCACGGUAUAUAGGAAUUAUCACUUAAUCGACAAUUAUAUAUAGUCCAAAAUCACAUAAAGGGUUGAUCAGGGUAUUUAAUAAUUCAUAAUGAAAUAGUGCCACAAUCUCCCAGUGUAUGUAAAAGCACUCUAGCACCAUCUCUUUUUGAUCUGUAUGUAUUGUGGAUUUGAAAACAAAAGUGAGACAAUUCUUCUAAGAAACCGAUCGUGCUUUAUAAAAGAAAUUUUACAAAUGAGGCUGUUAUAUAUAUAAAAAGAAGAGACCAAAAUGACACAGAAAUUAACAACUAUAGGUCACCGUACGGCCAUCAACAAUGAGCAAAGCCCAUACCGCAUAGUCAGCUAUAAAAGUCUCCGAAAUGACAUUGCAAAACAAUUCAGACGAGAAAACUAACGGCCUUAUUUUCAUAACAAAAUUAACGAAAAACAAAUAUGUAACGCAUAAACAAACGACAAUCACUGAAUUACAGGCUCCUGACUUGGGACAGGCACAUACAUACAUAAUGUGGCGGGGUUAAACAUGUUAGAGGAACCCCAAUCCUCCCCUAACCUGGGACAGUGGUAUAACAGUACACCAUAAGGAUCCAUAAGAACGAACUAUAAAAAUCAGUUGAAAAAGGCUUACUCAGCAGGUGGACAAAAAUACAAGUGGACGUGGCCGGGUACUUGUACAUCCAAAUAACAAAAAGAUACUAGGAACAGAUCUGAGAGUACUCGCAGUUAACUGACAGCUAGUUCAAAGCCAUAACAACUAUAUGAAAAAAAAAAUCAUGCAUCUAAGACUAAAUUAUCAAUUGUAGAUCGAUGAAUGUAUAUAUGUAUAUAGCAUACUAGUAAUAUUUAGUUGGCUUUUAAUUUACUGAUAACAAAAUCAAUAUUUAUACCAAUAAAAACAAUAUUCAAUGAUCUUAUUACAGUGUUGAAUUGGUAGCCUUUUAGAAUAAGUUUAUUUAAAGGAGCGAUAAGUUUACAAUGAUCAUUUCUAAAUUUUUCAGGCCCUGUAAACAACAUAUCCGUAAAAAUGAGGAUGUGCUUUCUCGUUAAUAAGUUUUCUACAGGUACAACCAAACUUCAAAACCAAAUCUUUAUAUCUUAGAAAAAUUUAGUAAAGGUUUGAAGUAAUUUAUGGUAACGAUAUCCCUGGUUUAAUAAUUUACCAGUAAUACAUAGAUUACGUUCGUUAAAAUCAAAAACGACAAAAUAGACCCGGACAUAGCGAACGAGCUGUGAAAUGUAAACUCCGUAAGAUGGUGUCAAAGGAACAUCACCAUCUAAAAAGGGAAAUUAAUAAUAGAAAACGAAAAAUCGUCUAUUUUGUCGUAAAUUUUAGUGUGGAGUUUCCCGUUAAAAACCGAAAUAUCUAAAUCUAGGAACAGACAGUUAUUACCGUUUAAGGAGGCUCGAGGGUAUAAAAAUUUCAGAAAAAAAAGUAAACAUUUGUUUUUCAUUUCAAAUUUUAUUUGUUACCUUUUGUAGUUGUUACUUAUAUGGUACAAAAAUCAUUCAAAACAAACAACUCUUGUUGGCCCCAGAUGACUUUUAAAAGGUAUACAUCAAUGAAAAAGUUCCAAAUUAUCUCCCUUUGGUGGAAAAAUGCCAUUUUUUGGCUUGAAAAUUGAAAUAUCUUUUUUAACUCAUCGGUGACCUAUAUUUUUUAAUAUAAUUUCCAUAUAAGCUGUACUUAAACUAAAUUAUUGUAAAAUUUGAGCGAUUUCUGUAAUAAAUUUCUUUCUUUUUUUUCGAUAUUACCUUUAAUUCUAUUACUUCAACAGAAAAAAAAAAACCACUUUUUCAAAAAUGUAUGCUUCUUUCGAAGGCAGAUUGUGAGCGCAAAUGAACGGUGACCCCACUUUUUUAUUUUAUUUUUCUAUUAACUAUAAAAUAAAGUUCAUUUAUAGAAAAAUAUAGAGAAAUCUUAUAUAAAUGAUUUAGACCCGCGAACCUCCUUAAAUUUGAUUUAUUUAAAGUAAGUUCCUUGGGGUAAGUUUCUGCAGUAUAUUGAGAAAAUUCUUGAUUAUUUAACGAAAAAAUAUCAUCAAGAUAACGUAAGUGUUGUUGAAUUUAUCAAUUAAAUGCAAUUUCGACGGGUCUCUACUGAGUUUAGUCAUAAACUGUGAUUCGUAACAGUACAAAAACAAGUCUGAUAUUAAAGGGGCGCAAUUAGUGCCCAUAGGGAUACCUAUAACCGAUCAAUAAACUUUGUUACCGAAAUGCACAUGAAAAUUAUCAAGGAGAAAAUUAAAGCUUCGAUCAUCUCAUCACACCUCCAGUAAGUAUAUCUAGCAUAUUUACCUGUCUCAUUAGAGAAGAAGGCUUUGAAUGAGUCGCAGCAAAUAUAUUUGCAUUCAGAUUUACCAAACGACCAUUUAAUUAAAUAGGAAAAACUUUAAAUUUGUUUAAUAAGAUAGUGUGGAAGUGUAGUGUAAUGAGUAGAAAAAUAAAAACUGUCAACAGAAUAAAAAGGACCAUCAAAAGCACGUAAUUUAUCUAAAACAUCCAAAGAUUUUUUUACAUUCCUAAAAUAGUUUAUUUCACUAUGUUCAUAUAUUUUCUUACAAUAGUUUAUGAUAAGCUCUUUAAUAGUAGUUAAUGAACUUGUUAAAAGCACUGAAAGAUUAGUUGUAGAACACUUACUAGAGGCUGGGAUGAAACGAUUUUUAAAUAACUUCAUGUAAUCUGUUUCAAUAUGGAGAGAACACAUACAAUCAGUAUGAAACCGCUCAAUAUAUAUACACUUUGCAAUAAAUCCAAGCUAUACCUGCACAUAUACAGAAAACAUAUUUGUGUUGACUUUAUAUUGAGGUUUGCUUACAAUUUGCAAACAAAUAUGUCUGCCGCUUCUGAAUGUGGUUUCUGUAUUCUUAAGCAAUUUAAAGAACAGUUUUUAAGAUGGGUGUUAACUUGGAUUCGCUCUGUGUUUAAAUUACAAAGUGGACGAUCAAAAUAAAGGUAAAAAAGUCCAAUAGAUUGAAAAGCACCACAGUAAAAUAAACUAGUUGAUGAACUUCUGUUCUUAUUGCACUAGUGAGAUCCGUGUGUUAAUGAUAAGCAAAAAUAAACUGAUAUUUAUGUCCUUUAUAAAGUAAUAAUCGAGAGAACGAUGACAGAAGUGCAAAACCUGGGAUCUCAUUUCAGCUAGGUGACAUAUAUUGUUGUUACCUAGAAAUAAAAAGUUUACAAUGGGAAUAUUGAAGUCAUCUCUUUUGUUGUAAAGUUAAAAUUUUGACCUAUAUUCACUAUCCAUUUCAAAAAAUAAGUCAAGAUAUGAGUUACACAUAGCUGUAUCUGUGAUAUCCUUUGUGAAUCUAAUUAAGUCCUUUUUCAUGCCGCGAAGUUUAGGGAUUUCCAAUAGUUAGGCAAAUUAAAACCCAAUGCUAUGAUUUAUUGCUGAUCAUAUUAUGCCAUUAUAGGAUGAACACAAAAGAAAAAAAUAAAUCAAAGCUCACACGUUCCACGGUUAAAUUAUUUUUGUGAGUACUAAAACCUCAAAAUUUUCACAGGCUGUCGGAUAACAUAAGCUACAAAGAUGAAACAGAAUAAAAUUACAGUCAAACAAUCAUGUUUAAUACAUAUUCAUGUGCAGGAGACGAAGCAGUGUACACGUAAAACUAGUGCUGGAUAAUACAGUAUAAUAAUUUACAUAUAGAUACUAAAAACUUGUUUUCAAGUAUUUAUUGCUGGCAGAAUAAUUACCCAUUCGUUGAUACUAAUAGACGCGAUUUAUUUUAUUUUUGUAACCUAUAUCUGAGGUUUUCCCUGUUUUUUUUGUUUGAAUCAUUAAUAAUUUAUAUAAAUGAACGUUUUUUACUGGUUUAUCAUAUAGCACACACGCAUACAGGACUGAGGUUUAUGUUCUUUUUCACAAACAUGUUCUUUUCUUUAUCGUGUAUUUUAUCAGAAUUGAAUCGUUUAACCUGUCUUUUACGAUAUUUAAUAUUUAUACAAAACAACAUAUUUUAUUGAUUCCAAGUAAACGAAAAACAAUGAUAACGACAACAUUUGUCCUUUAUUCAAAUCUAUAUACCAGUCAUGACAAUAUCACACCAGUCAUGACAAUAUCACACCAGUCAUGACAAUAUCACAUCAGUCAUGACAAUAUCACAUCAGUCAUGACAAUAUCACAUCAUACCUUUGGUAUGCGUAUUCAUUGCUCAACUCUGCUUUUGACAGUUUAAAUGCAUUCAUUUUGAAGUUCGGUAUUUUUACUAAAUAUUAUUUUUUCUACAUUUUUUUUCGAACGUUUUUUAUUGUUUUGAUUAAGAAGUCACUGUUCUGUUGUGCAAUAAAAUUCUGAUUACAUCCCUUAGACCAUUAGUCAGUAACAUCAUAUGCGAACAGUAAUUUCUACAAUUUUCCCUAAUAAAUCUUUUCCGACCACUUCAUUAAGGGCAAAAACUAUGUUGUUCAAUUAUAUGCAAAUGGUAACCUUCAUAUGAAGAAGAAGUUGCAUCUUUACUGAAAGGAUAAUAAAGAUUUAUAACAAUAUAAAUUACAAUUAAUGACGUAAAUACACACAAAGGUAUCCCAAAACGCAGUUAAUUUUGGUAUUUGUACUAAGAUUGACAACGAUGAAAAAGGACGUAGCUGUGUAUUUAUACGUCAUCAAAAACAUUAGAACAAACUCUCUUUUUUUUUUUAGCAAGAAUUGGAAAAGAUUGUUUAUUUACUUGUUUUAUUGGAAAAAGAAGUCAUUUGAUGUGGUUUAAAAAUGUAAAACACCAAAUUACCCUAUACAACUUGACAAAGAAUCAGUAAAAAUAGGUACGACCAUUUUCCCUUUAUUUUUCCUUAAUACCAGGACAAUUUUCAAUGAGUUUUAGAAUAUUCACUUUAAUUUAAUAGAAUGAAAGCCUAUCUUGCCUGUGUACUCUGUGAGUUGUGUUUUUCAAUUUUUACAACAUCAUGGUUUAACCAAGUUUCAAUGUCGAAAGAGACAUCAAAACCGGAAAAUUUCGUUUUGGAAUAUUACAUCCUUCAAUGCAAAAUAUUACAAAAGACAUGUAAAAUUAGCAAAUGGUAAAGAGGAAAAACACCGAACUUUAAGUAAAAUUCAAAACAUAAAGUCCAUAAUCCAAAGGCAAAAUCAAAAGCUAAAAUACUCCAAACGAAUGAAUAACAACUGAUAUAUUCCUGACCUGGUACUGCAGGGAUUUUCUAAUGUAGAAAAUGGUGGAUUAAAGAUGGUUUUAUAGCUAACUAAACCGAGAACUUGUAUGACUGUCGCAUACAUUGCCAGUAUAUUGACAACGAUGUAUGAACAAAACAAAAAGAUUCAUGUGAACAAUUUUGUAACCAACCAUAGCAACAUGUAGAGCUGAACUACGCUUUGAUUUUAUUGAAAUAUGUAAAAAUGCUUGUACAUUGUAAUAUAUAGAAUCUUUGCAAAAGUAUAUGACAACUUUUAUAUUUUGACCAGAAAUUUGAGCUUAAUCUUUGAUUGGACUUUGUUUGUAUUAUGCUGCUUUGAAAUUUUGUUUUGUGACUUAUUUGUGAUGUUUUUCUUUUUCUACAAUGGUUCUAUUUUGUUAUAUUAUUUCUCUUCGGUUAUCUUUCUUUAACGGCAAUUGUUUCAAAAAAUUAUAGGUUAUCUAGUUCUAAAUCUCAAUGUUUUUAUUACAAUCUAACGAGGAUUUAAUUGAGAUCGUUGAAUUUUGUCCACUACUCCGCUGUAUAUCCAUCCUAUUAGGAUUGUAAUACGUAGGAUUACGUUCAAUAACAAGAAAAGGAACUCAUACCUGAUCAGUACAGUUCAUCUACACUAUCUGAUGUAGUUUUUAUUUAUAGACGGUUUUAUUACUGGGAACACAGCUUGGCAGCUUAGAAAUGGAGACAAGUAUAAGUACAGAGUUUGUUCACUUUGAUUGUAAAUUUAUUGAUAUUGGUCAGAUUUCAGGAAAAAGUUGAACGUUUAAUGAAAUAUUCUAAACAUUUAUACCACAAAUAGAGCAACAUGAAUUGUGUAUCUUGUCGAUGCCCAUUCUCACUAAUGUUGAAGUUCCUAUGGUCUGUUUGAUCCUGGUCUUCAGAAUUGAGUUCCAAUGACUCCAGUUGUUAAAUGUUCUUCCGAACAGGCAUACUCACAUAAUUGUCAACCUGUUGGUUAUAUAAAGAGAAGAUAUAGAUAUCAAAAGGAUAUCCAAACUUAUGCGUCGAAAAUAUGCCGGCUAAAAAAAGAAGACCAAAGACUAACAAUACACAAAACUAAACACUGAGCAACACAAACCCCAUCAAAACCGGUGGUGGUCUCAGAUGCUGCUGAAGGGUAUGUAUAUCCUGCAUCACAUGUUGCAACCGUCGUGCUGCAAGUAUAAGUAUAAACCGGAUGACAAGUCUUAUUCGGUAGGUCACAUUCGGGGAAUAGAGGACAUGAUAUCCCUCGUCAUCUGACUACUAGCAUCCAUAAAGUUUACGAAACGAUGAUUUCAAAUUAAAUUCAAUCUCAUCACUUAAAACUCUGGGUUUAAUUCAUUAUAUCGGGGAAAUCAUUAUGAGAAAUACAAGCACCGGAACAUAUCAAGACGCUGCUGGAAUUUUGUUACACAGAAAUGGAAAGUAGCUGGAAUCAUCUCUUUUGUCGUAAAAAAACUUGUUUUCAUCCGAACCCCAUUACAAAUUUCAAGAUGUGUCAAGAUAUGAACAGAAUAACUGCAUUUGUUGUAUCUUCUAUCUCAAGUUCGAUGAGAUUGAUGCUAGCAGCAUAGUUUACCAAACUUUAUAUUAUUUAGUUAGAGAAUGCUGUCAUUCUAAGAAGCUGCUGUGUGAAGUCAGGCUUAUAUGAAUAAAAGAACAAGUCGGCAAGAAGAGGAACAUAUUUGGUUCUUAUUGUUUGUUGAAAAACGCGUGCUCCAAAACGUAACAGAUAUGUUGCCAAUCAAGAAUUCAAUGAACUUGAAAAUAUCAGUUUUAUAGAAUUUAACUAAAAUAUAAAUUACGGGUUCCGUAAGUUGGUGUAGGAAGCUCGCUUACACAAAAAAGUCUUGUCUACCAAAAUGGAAUUGUAUCACGAGAAAAAAUAAAACGUGUAAAACAUUGAAUAUCAUUAAAUAAAAAGAGCCUAAUAUAAACAGGACAGCCGUGUUUUUAUCACAGUUACAUGAUUUAAUUUACGAUAAAUUUAGAGACAAUAAAUUACAUGCAAAAUGUCAACAACGAAGAGCUAUCGUUUGAGCCGGGUUGUAAGUUUAGAAACUGAGAUACUUUAACAAUAAUGGGGUCUGUUUCACGAAGCUAUCCCAAGACCUAAGAUAUCAUGAAUUCAAUUUGUCCCUGUAUCGUUUAUAAUAACGAAUAUCAUUGUUGACCGUCAACCUAUAAAUAUUUUGUUACGAGAAGGAAAAGGAGAACAGAUAAAUAGAUAAUUAAAAACCAAUUGUUCAAAGAACAAUUGAAGGUCUUUCCACAAGUAAAGAUCUAUUUAUUAUCAAAAUAUCAAAAAUCAAUCUAAAAUGUCAGUUCCUAUGACUUUAUAAUGUAUAAAUAUGAAUUUAAAUCAAAGGUCAAAAUCUAGAACGCCCUAUUAACCUUUGACCUUGACCUCAAUUUCAAGGUCACCAACCAAGGACCUCAAACAAAAAGACCCUAGGUCUGUAAUAUGUAUGGUUAAUGAGUUAUAUCACUUUACGCAUUAUUUUAAAUAUAAGAUGGGCGAAAAACUCUCAUUUAUUGUUUGCGCACCCUUCCAACCAAAAUUUAUAAGUUACAACAUGUCGCAACUCACAAUUUAGUAAAAAUAAUUUGUCAAUAUCUUUCACGGUUGUUGAAAAUAAGUGAAAAUAAGCCAAAAUCAAAAUUU
rnacentral:lncRNA from 1 species